GGUUUUGUGGAGGAGAGCAGGGCAGAGAUAGAGAGGAAUCCUGCCUGGGCCCUCCCAUCCAGCCCUCCCUACAAAUGCCUAGUAGCCACUCUGUGGGGCACAUCUGUCGGCUGGUACAAGCCCCAGUGACCACAGGAGGGCAAGAGAAACCUAAAUUCUGAUAUGAGCUGGAGAGGCAAGAUUAAUCUAAGAGAUAGAUAGGUAGCCACGACGCACUGGUGCUAAGCAAUCAACAGCAGGAGAGGCAGAGAUUGGGAUGGACAAAGGGAUCAUGGAAGGCUCCUUCGAGCUGGACUUGAAGGACUGAUAUCAAACAAAGAAUUACUCUGUACAAAGCCAGAACACAUAUAUCAAAGUAAUCCUGAAGUAUCAGAACAAAAUAAUAGAUUAUUUCCUAAUCAGUAUCCAGAAUUGGGCUCAACCUCUUCUCCUGUUGCUUUCUUAUGUGGAUCUUGUUCACUCAAGUGAUGGCUCCAUGCAAGUUGGCCAAAGGGCUUGUAGUCCUUUACUGGGCUGUAACAGAGGAGGAAAUGAUUUUGAAUAGCCUCUCUCUGUAUUACCAUAAUAAGCUAAUCCUGGCCCCAAUGGUUCGGGUAGGGACUCUUCCAAUGAGGCUGCUGGCCCUGGAUUAUGGAGCGGACAUUGUUUACUGUGAGGAGCUGAUCGACCUCAAGAUGAUUCAGUGCAAGAGAGUUGUCAAUGAGGUGCUCAGCACAGUGGACUUUGUCGCCCCUGAUGAUCGAGUUGUCUUCCGCACCUGUGAAAGAGAGCAGAACAGGGUGGUCUUCCAGAUGGGGACUUCAGACGCAGAGCGAGCCCUUGCUGUGGCCAGGCUUGUAGAAAAUGAUGUGGCUGGUAUUGAUGUCAACAUGGGCUGUCCAAAACAAUAUUCUACCAAGGGAGGAAUGGGAGCUGCCCUGCUGUCAGACCCUGACAAGAUUGAGAAGAUCCUCAGCACUCUUGUUAAAGGGACACACAGACCUGUGACCUGCAAGAUUCGCAUCCUGCCAUCGCUAGAAGAUACCCUGAGCCUUGUGAAGCGGAUAGAGAGGACUGGCAUUGCUGCCAUCGCAGUUCAUGGGAGGAAGCGGGAGGAGCGACCUCAGCAUCCUGUCAGCUGUGAAGUCAUCAAAGCCAUUGCUGAUACCCUCUCCAUUCCUGUCAUAGCCAACGGAGGAUCUCACGACCACAUCCAACAGUAUUCGGACAUAGAGGACUUUCGACAAGCCACGGCAGCCUCUUCCGUGAUGGUGGCCCGAGCAGCCAUGUGGAACCCAUCUAUCUUCCUCAAGGAGGGUCUGCGGCCCCUGGAGGAGGUCAUGCAGAAAUACAUCAGAUACGCGGUGCAGUAUGACAACCACUACACCAACACCAAGUACUGCUUGUGCCAGAUGCUACGAGAACAGCUGGAGUCGCCCCAGGGAAGGUUGCUCCAUGCUGCCCAGUCUUCCCGGGAAAUUUGCUCCCUGUCUACCUGUCUGCUUCCAGAACUCCACACCUGUGCUUGUAAUGGGUCGUCUGCCUGGAAGGCUCUCUCCCUCUCACUGAGGCCUUUGGCCUUGGUGCCUUCUAUGAGGAGACCACACAGGAGCUGGAUGCCCAGCAGGCCAGGCUCUCAGCCAAGACUUCAGAGGAGACAGGGGAGCCAGCUGAAGAUACCUCUGGUGUCAUUAAGAUGGCUGUCAAGUUUGACCGGAGAGCAUACCCAGCCCAGAUCACCCCUAAGAUGUGCCUACUAGAGUGGUGCCGGAGGGAGAAGUUGGCACAGCCUGUGUAUGAAACGGUUCAACGCCCUCUAGAUCGCCUGUUCUCCUCUAUUGUCACCGUUGCUGAACAAAAGUAUCAGUCUACCUUGUGGGACAAGUCCAAGAAACUGGCGGAGCAGGCUGCAGCCAUCGUCUGUCUGCGGAGCCAGGGCCUCCCUGAGGGUCGGCUGGGUGAGGAGAGCCCUUCCUUGCACAAGCGAAAGAGGGAGGCUCCUGACCAAGACCCUGGGGGCCCCAGAGCUCAGGAGCUAGCACAACCUGGGGAUCUGUGCAAGAAGCCCUUUGUGGCCUUGGGAAGUGGUGAAGAAAGCCCCCUGGAAGGCUGGUGACUACUCUUCCUGCCUUAGUCACCCCCUCCAUGGGCCUGGUGCUAAGGUGGCUGUGGAUGCCACAGCAUGAACCAGAUGCCGUUGAACAAUUUGCUGGUCUUGCCUGGCAGAAGUUAGAUGUCCUGGCAGGGGCCAUCAGCCUAGAGCAUGGACCAGGGGCCGCCCAGGGGUGGAUCCUGGCCCCUUUGGUGGAUCUGAGUGACAGGGUCAAGUUCUCUUUGAAAACAGGAGCUUUUCAGGUGGUAACUCCCCAACCUGACAUUGGUACUGUGCAAUAAAGACACCCCCUACCCUCACCCAUGGCUGGCUGCUUCAGCCUUGGGCAUCUUCAUAAA